GGACACGGACGGCAUCGGCGGCAGCGUCACCUUCGGCAUGCCAGGGAUCGGCGGCAGGGUGACCUUGGGCACGGCAGGCACGACGGCGGCGGGAAGCGGCGGGAGCGCGGCGCCCGGCACGGCUGGCAUCGCGGGCACCGCUGGCACGGUCACCGCCGGCAUCGGCGGCAAGGUCACCGCGGGCACCGCUGGCAUAGGAGGCACGGUGACCGCGGGCACGGCAGGGAUCUGCGGCACGGUGGGAACUGCCGGCACCGUCGGCUUCGGCACUGCCGGAAUGGCCGGGAUGGCGGCCGGUGCCGCGGCAGGCGCCGUGUCGUCG
rnacentral:lncRNA from 1 species